AUUUGUUGAUGUUUUCUUUUUUUUCUAUUUUCUCUCUCAUUUUCGGAGCUUCCCUCACCCCUACGUCGGUGUUUUGUUGAUUUUAUUGGUCACUUGUUUGGUGUUGCGCUGAUUGAAAAUAUGCUUCAUCUGUUUUGCGCAUUUGGUUAUGUGAGGUUUCUAGAUGGAUGUUCUGCGUGGUGUUUAGACCUCCUUUAUGGUUGUUAUACCCCACUCUCUUGGGAUGACCUCCCGUUCUUUCUAUGUAUUUUCUUUAUUAUUAUCAAUGAAAUAUCCUACCAUUUGAAAAAAUAAAACAAACUAGUAAUUAUGUUUCCAAUGAAUAAAAUACUCUACUAAUUUGAACCCAAUAAGUUAGUGAAUCUCAGUUCAGUCACCAAGACAAAUUUCCUACUUAAGAUAAGAAAGGCACAAAACAGAGUCCACCCAAAACUUCCCAAACCAACCUUGUGAUUUCCAAUGUGAUUUGAAGUGCAAAUAAUAUGAAACAAUUGGAAACAAGAAAUAUAUUAUCAGUCGAAAUUUGUUUUCUUUUUUUUUUGAUAACGGAGGAACAACCUUACAGCCAGGUCUAAAUGGACUCGACUGCCCGGAGGUAUCACACCCACACCCAUCACAGCCCCCACUUACUUCAACGUACUCACCUUGCGGGGAAUUUCUUUCUUUUCUCCAUCAUAUUUGGUAAAUGUAUUUUGUCUCUUUCCAAAAGGCCCUUCCCAAAGCCACAGUUGACCCCUUGAGUUCUAAAUUGAGUGGAAACAAUGUGGUUCCAAAACCCUUAGCUACAAGUUUUGAUAAACGAAUCAAGCCAUAUGUUUUUUUUUUUUUAACCAAUCAGAAGCAAAUGAUUGCAUUUCAUGAAAAGGCAUCCAGUGCUUACAGAGAUUUUCAUACGAAAAUAGAGACUAGAAACUAUAGCACAAUCCACCAACCAAAAGAUAAACAAAUUACAUCAAAAGGAAAACUAAUGCCUAAUAUUCGGACACGAGUAUCAUACUCUCUUCACGUACUGCAAAGAGACAGACCAAAACAAGUUGGGCGAUAGCGGAGUCGGUGAUAAAGACACUAAACCCCCUUUUGGGAUGGCAGAGAUUCUAAUCAAAGAUCAUCACAGGCUCUGAUGAAAAUCGGAUCGGAACAAACACAACAAAACAAACUAACAAAACCCAAUCUGUAGAAGACCAGAUCUGGAAGAGAAACCAAAAAAAAAACUAGCCACAUCACAGUCCAUCACAUGUCCUCCAGCAGGACCACAACGGCAACCACAAGCCUCUGGAAACCACGGGCCGCAAACCAGAACCACGACACCAAACCGAUGAACCACUGGAGACAAUACACCAGCGACCACGCGGAGAAAUGACGGAGGAGCAGUGAAGUAGGAACAGUGGAGGAGAUGCGGCAGGUAGCUGGGGAGGAGGAUGGAAAGUGAUGGAGGGAGAGAAAAACUCUCAGAUUGAGAUCAAGAGAGAAGGAAACCCAUAGGGGGUAAGGCCCUCCCUCCUGCCACCACAUGAGGGUGGGGAAAACCCUAGGGGGAGGGAGGGGAAACCAGGCGGCUAGGGUUGUGUUCCGGAGAGAGAGAGAGAGAGAGAGAGAGUGUGUGUGUUUAACUUAAGUGCUAAGGCCCACUUAGUUAAAUCAAGCCAUUUGUUGAAACAGUAUUCCAUGAAUUGGAGGCCAGAAAGUAUGGUAAUCCUUGUCACCGUGGGUCUGAACUUCGAAAUCCUCAAAUCAAUGAAGAUGCUAUCAAUGACAAGCAAGGACCACACUUAUGCACCACGAAAUCCAGUAAAGCAAAGCUCGAAGUAACUCGUGGUUCACUUUUUCAGGAGGUAAUAAGUGAAUGCAAGUUUGGAUGCCAAGAGAAAACAACGAAAAGAAAAGAAUUCUAUGGAUGUUAGUUCUCAUUGAUCCGCGUUUCCAUUAUAAGUAAAUUCUGACUUCACUAUGUGCUUAAAACUUGACAAGUCAUCACAAAAUCUAUGAAUUUGAAACGACAAAGAAUAAAGUAAGUUUCACUUUCAUUUCACUCAUAAUAUUUACCAAAUGUGAAACAGCAACUAACCUUCAGCUUCUUUUUCUCAAAGCAGUGACAGCAUCCAAUGAUCCAACCUGAACGUGACUCAAUCCCUGCAUAUCAAGAGAUACAUUCCUGGCAAUGAAUUUAUACCAACACCCCUC